UUGAAAUUGACGUUGCUUCUACACGCUCUGUCUCUGUCCUCUCUGGGGCUUCAACGGCUUUCUCGUCUGCGCCAAAUGCUAAAACCCUAAAGAAUUUUCCCGAUAGAAUGAUUUUCCCGGAAAAUUCCCAAUUGUGUAUAGAAAAUUCACCCAGAAACUUCACUGUAAAAACGUAAAUUGAAUUAAACUUCAGUAAGGUGAUAACUAGGAGAGUGACAAUGGCAGAGGUCGAUCUGACUAAGAAAGUGGCGGAUAGGUAUCUGAAGCGCGAGGUUCUUGGUGAAGGUACCUAUGGAGUCGUCUACAAAGCCAUUGAUACGAAGACAGGACAGACAGUUGCUAUUAAAAAAAUUCGGCUUGGGAAGCAAAAGGAAGGGGUGAAUUUCACAGCUCUCAGAGAAAUUAAGCUGCUUAAAGAGCUGAAAGAUCCGAACAUAAUUGAGUUGAUUGAAGCAUUCCCGCAUAAAGGAAACUUGCAUCUUGUAUUUGAGUUCAUGGAAACGGACCUUGAAGCUGUUAUACGUGAUCGGAAUAUAUUCCUAUCACCAGCUGACAUAAAGUCAUACCUUCAGAUGACGUUAAAAGGACUUGCUGUUUGCCACAAGAAAUGGGUUUUACACAGGGAUAUGAAGCCUAACAACUUGUUGAUAGGACCUAAUGGGCAGCUUAAACUUGCAGAUUUUGGUUUAGCACGAAUAUUUGGGAGCCCAGAUCGCAGGUUCACUCAUCAGGUCUUUGCCCGUUGGUAUAGAGCACCUGAGCUGUUAUUUGGCACCAAGCAAUAUGGACCUGGGGUAGAUGUUUGGGCUGCAGCUUGUAUAUUUGCUGAACUUCUCUUACGCAGACCCUUUUUGCAGGGAUCAAGUGAUAUUGAUCAAUUAGGAAAGAUUUUUGCGGCUUUUGGGACUCCAACACCUUCUCAGUGGCCUGAUAUGGUAUACCUCCGGGAUUAUGUGGAAUACCAAUAUGUUCCAGCACCCCCUUUGCGUUCAUUGUUUCCAGUGGCUGGUGAUGAUGCCCUAGAUUUGUUAGCGAAGAUGUUUACUUAUGACCCCAAAGUUAGAAUUUCCGUACAGCAGGCAUUAGAGCACAGGUACUUUACAUCUGCCCCUCUUCCUACGUAUCCAGACAAGCUUCCUAGACCUGCUCCAAAGCGGGAAUCUAAGGCUUCAGAUUUUGAUCCACAUGAUGGUCCUACUGUGUUAUCACCUCCACGAAAAUCAAGGAGAGUGAUGCCAAAGCGUGAUGGUUUUGAAGGAAAUUCACAUGUUGAUAAGAUUGAUGAUCGUUUCAGUGAAGCCAGACAUGCUGCUGGUGAAAAUACAAGCAGGAAUGAACCAGUGUCAGUUGAUUUUUCUAUCUUUGGAGCAAAACCUCCAACUAGACCUACAAUUAAUAGUGCUGACAGAACACAUCUAAAGAGGAAACUAGAUCUUGAAUUUCAACAUCCCGAAUAAGAACAUUCUAUGCACUGAAUCAUAUAUCUUAUUUGUUUGAGAGGUGUAAGAUUGCAGCGGGUCUCACAUUAAUGAAAUUAUAGGGAGGAGAAAACAUUCGGUGAAGUCGAAGAUAAUCACGAUGCAGAUAAUUAUGUUUGGAGGUGUAAAAAUAAUUUUGAUGACAUUAAACCGAAAAUUUGUACCUAGUCCAUGUAAGGCUAAAAUUUGAGAGCUUGUGUUGUGUUGCUUCAUUUUUUCCUGGUCUAAUUGUUGAGGGUAAUUACUAAUUAGGUGCCAACAUUCAUACCGUUAUCGAACUUAGAGAUGAAAGUCAACGUUAUGGAUUCAUGUUGUCUUUUUGUUUCUU